rnacentral:rRNA from 1 species
AUUGAACGCUGGCGGCAGGCCUAACACAUGCAAGUCGAGCGGAUGAAGGGAGCUUGCUCCUGGAUUCAGCGGCGGACGGGUGAGUAAUGCCUAGGAAUCUGCCUGGUAGUGGGGGAUAACGACCGGAAACGGGCGCUAAUACCGCCUACGUCCUGAGGGAGCAAGUGGGGGAUCUUCGGACCUCACGCUAUCAGAUGAGCCUAGGUCGGAUUAGCUAGUUGGUGGGGUAAAGGCCUACCAAGGCGACGAUCCGUAACUGGUCUGAGAGGAUGAUCAGUCACACUGGAACUGAGACACGGUCCAGACUCCUACGGGAGGCAGCAGAGGGGAAUAUUGGACAAUGGGCGGAAGCCUGAUCCAGCCAUGCCGCGUGUGUGAAGAAGGUCUUCGGAUUGUAAAGCACUUUAAGUUGGGAGGAAGGGCAGUAAGUUAAUACCUUGCUGUUUUGACGUUACCAACAGAAUAAGCACCGGCUAACUUCGUG